UAUCAGAAACCUCAGAUGCUAGAGCACCUGACUAAAGAUUCAGGGGGGCCCAGGUUCAAAUCCUGGUCUGGUUC
rnacentral:tRNA from 1 species